AUUGAACGCUGGCGGCAUGCCUAACACAUGCAAGUCGAACGGCAGCACAGUGCGUAGCAAUACGUAUGGGUGGCGAGUGGCGGACGGGUGAGGAAUGCAUCGGAAUCUACCCAGUAGCGGGGGAUAACCUGGGGAAACUCAGGCUAAUACCGCAUACGACCUAUGGGUGAAAGCGGGGGACCGUAAGGCCUCGCACUAUUGGAUGAGCCGAUGCCGGAUUAGCUAGUUGGUAGGGUAACGGCCUACCAAGGCGACGAUCCGUAGCUGGUCUGAGAGGACGAUCAGCCACACCGGAACUGAGACACGGUCCGGACUCCUACGGGAGGCAGCAGUGGGGAAUAUUGGACAAUGGGGAAACCCUGAUCCAGCAAUGCCGCGUGUGUGAAGAAGGCCUGCGGGUUGU
rnacentral:rRNA from 1 species